GAUGAACGCUGGCGGCGUGCCUAAUACAUGCAAGUCGAGCGAACAGACGAGGAGCUUGCUCCUCUGACGUUAGCGGCAGACGGGUGAGUAACACGUGGAUAACCCACCUAUCAGACUGGUAAAACUUCGGGACACCGGAGAUAAUACCGGAUAAUAUCUUGAACCGCAUGGUUCAAUAGUGAAAGACGGUUUUGCGGUAACGUAUAGAUGCAUCCGCGCGGCAUUGGGGAGUUGGUGAGGUAACGGCUUACCGAGGCAACGAUGCGUAGCAGACAUGAGAGGGUGAUGGGCCACACUGGAACGGAGACACGGUCCAGUCUCCUACGGGAGGCAGCCGUGGGGAAUCUGGCGCGAUGGGCGAAAGCCUGACGGACCAUCGCCGCGUGAGUGAUGCAGGUCUGCGGUGCGUGAAACUCUGUUACGAGGGAAGAACAAAUUUGGAAGGAACUAUGCACGGCGUGACGGUACUUAGUCAGAAAGCCACGGCUAACUACGUG
rnacentral:rRNA from 1 species